rnacentral:rRNA from 1 species
AUGAACGCUGGCGGCGUGCCUAAUACAUGCAAGUCGAGCGAACGGACGAGAAGCUUGCUUCUCUGAUGUUAGCGGCGGCCGGGUGAGUAACCCGUGGAUAACCUACCUAUAAGACUGGGAUAACUUCGGGAAACCGUAGCUAAUACCGGAUAAUAUUUUGAACCGCAUGGUUAAAAAGUGAAAGACGGUCUUGCUGUCACUUAUAGAUGGAUCCGCGCUGCAUUAGCUAGUUGGUAAGGUAACGGCUUACCAAGGCAACGAUGCAUAGCCGACCUGAGAGGGUGAUCGGCCACACUGGAACUGAGACACGGUCCAGACUCCUACGGGAGGCAGCAGUAGGGAAUCUUCCGCAAUGGGCGAAAGCCUGACGGAGCAACGCCGCGUGAGUGAUGAAGGUCUUCGGAUCGUAAAACUCUGUUAUUAGGGAAGAACAUAUGUGUAAGUAACUGUGCACAUCUUGACGGUACCUAAUCAGAAAGCCACGGCUAACUACGUG